CAAGGCGUCAGUAGGGCUGGCUCCUGCUAGAAGCGCUGAGGGCAGGAUUCUUUGCGUUUUCAGUGUCUGUAUUUUCUUUCUUUCUAUUUCUUUCUUUCUUUCUUUCUUUUUUCUCUUUCUUUCUUUCUUUCUUUCUUUCUUUCUUUCUUUCUUUCUUUCUUUCUUUCUUUCUUUCUUUCUUUCUUUCUUUCCUUCUUUCUCCUCUCCUCUCCUUUCCUUUCCCUUCCUCCUGUCCUUCCUUCCUUCCUUCCUUCCUUCUUUUCUCUCUCUCUCUCUCUCUCCCCAACACCCCGCCCUGCCAUCUUUCUUUGUCUCUUUCUUUUUUUUAGAGGCAGAAUCUCACUCUAUUGCCCAGGCUGCAGUGCAGUGGUCCAAUCUUGGCUCACUGCAGCCUCUGCCUCCUGGGUUCAAGAUAUUCUUCUGCCUCAACUUCCCAAGUAGCUGGGACUACAUGUGUGUGCACCAUGUCCGGCUAAUUUUUUUUGUGUUAGUAGAGAUGGUAUUUCACCAUGUUGGCCUGGCUGGUCUCGAACUCCUGACCUCAAGUGAUCCACCUGCCUCUGCCUCCCAAAGUGCUGGUCUGGCCUGUGUUUUCCUUUAAGCCCCUUGUAUUCCUGGGCUCGCGGCCCCUUCCUCCAUAUUCAAGCACAUGAUUCCAGUCUCUGCCCUGUCACUAUAGCUCCUCUGACUCAGACUCUCCUGCCUCCCUCUUAUAAGGACCCCUGUGAUUACACUGGGCCCAGCCAGGUCAUCUAGAGUCAUCUUUCUAUCUCAAGAUCCUUUACUUAAUUACAUCAGCAAAACCUCUUUGCAAUGGACAUAUACACAGGUCCCAGGGGUUUGAAUGUAGACAUGUAUGGGGGGCCCUUGUUCAACCCCCUAUGGGGGGUGGUUGUUGAUUUUCAGUAGGAUGGUCAGGGAAGACCCCGCUGAGAAGCCACCAUUUGAGCAAAGACCGGAGGAGCUGAGGCUGUGGGCCAGGAUGACAAGGGUGGAGCCUUCCAGGCAAAAGAAUAGUGAGUACAAAGCCAGCAACAGGUGUGCUGGCAUGUUCCAGGAAAAUCAGGGAGGGAGCCACAGCUGCGGCCGAGUGAGGAGAGGAGCAGCGGGAGGUGAGGUCAGAGAAGCCUUGGGGGCAGAAGCUGCGGGCCUCAUGGUUAUCAUGAAGCUCGGGGUUUUACUCUGAGUAUGUGGAAACCAUGGAGAGUUCUGAGCAGAGGAAGCACAGGACCUGACCUGGGUUUCACAGGCUUCCUCUGGCUGCUGUGUGGAAAAUAGGGAAAGCAAGAGUGGAAGAAGGGAGGCCUGUCAGGAAGCUUUUGCACAAUGGCCUUGGUGAGAAAGAUUCAUGGCUUGGAGCAGAUGCUGGGAUGUGUCCCCCACAUCCCCUUUCAGGAGCAGGCAUGCAUGCCCCACUGCCCAGGGGGUUGCCUGCUGAGAGCUCACAGCUGAGACCCUCCCCAGAAAAUGCCCCUGGCUGACAGGAGCUGCUUUGCCCAGUCACCCUUCCUGGGGUCCCUCCAUCUCCAAAGACUAGUAGUAAACACAGGGGUCUAAAGGUCCAGCCCCUUGACUCGAUUCAUCACAGCUCUGAAGGGCCGUCUUUGCUGCAGACUUCCUCAAAGGAUGGAUUGCAAAGUCAUGCGUAGAGUGUGCAGGGCUCAGAAGUGACAGGCUCAUGGCCAGAGAUGACACAACAGAGAAAAUGAAUCAAGAUGAAAACAAGAAUAAGAAUAAUUUCCCUUCCUGGCCGGGCGCGGUAGCUCACUUUGGGAGACCAAGGCAACCUGCUGGGGUGAGUGCAUGACUUUCAUUCUCUGCCCUCAUGGAGUUUCCAGACCAGACGGGAAGCCAACUAUUCAAAGACUCAAUGAAAAUACCAUCCAGUAACUGAAUGUGCAAAAUGCUGCAAAGGAAACAUUUGGGGGAUUAUAGAGUUUGAUCCUGGGUCGGGGACAGGAGCUUGGGGCAUAGGGUUUGAGAAUGGAGGGAAAGUCUAUCAAAGGGAAGCAGGAAUUAGCCAGGUAACUGCAGGUGGUGGGAGGGGAAGAAUGUUUUAGCAAAGGGAACAGCGUGUGCAAAGGACUGGGGGUGAGGAGGAUGCCGUGCCUUCUUGGAACUAAGGAACAUCCCACAGGGUGGAGCUGAGUGGGGCAAGAACUGGAUGGGAGCUCUGCGAAGCACAGCAAGUGCCAAGGUGCUGGGUUGGGCUGAGCCUGUUCAGUUUGAGGAACUGUGAUAAGGCCAGGGGUAGCAGAGAGGGCAAGACGGCCAGAUGCUGCUGGGAAUGUAAGCUGGUGAGGAAUCAGGGCGUCCUAGAGCAAAGGGAUGAUAUUAAAGGACUUUAGGGAGGGUAGUAAUGUUUGGGGAUUAUGCAUAUCUUGGGAAUCUCAGUAAAGUGAACUCAUCACUUGAAUGUUAAUAAGUCAUUUGCAUGUGCAGAGACAAAUGGGACUGUUUCUAUUGCUGUGAUCAAAUCAUGUAAAAGCACUCAAUACUGAUUUUCACAAAGGUUAUUCAAAUGAUAGAUUUAUUUCAGAAAUUUGUGGUAAUUAAGCACUUUAAGGUUGUCAGGGAGCAGAUAGGUUACUGAAGUCACAUGAAGGUGUUAGAGGUAGCAAUUUAAAAUGAAACCACCAAUUUUUACACUUUCCAAAGUAAUUUGAC
rnacentral:lncRNA from 1 species